AAGUCGAGCGAGCUGAAUUCAAAGAUCCCUUCGGGGUGAUUUGUUGGACGCUAGCGGCGGAUGGGUGAGUAACACGUGGGCAAUCUGCCCUAAAGACUGGGAUACCACUUGGAAACAGGUGCUAAUACCGGAUAACAACAUGAAUCGCAUGAUUCAAGUUUGAAAGGCGGCGUAAGCUGUCACUUUAGGAUGAGCCCGCGGCGCAUUAGCUAGUUGGUGGGGUAAAGGCCUACCAAGGCAAUGAUGCGUAGCCGAGUUGAGAGACUGAUCGGCCACAUUGGGACUGAGACACGGCCCAAACUCCUACGGGAGGCAGCAGUAGGGAAUCUUCCACAAUGGACGCAAGUCUGAUGGAGCAACGCCGCGUGAGUGAAGAAGGUUUUCGGAUCGUAAAGCUCUGUUGUUGGUGAAGAAGGAUAGAGGCAGUAACUGGUCUUUAUUUGACGGUAAUCAACCAGAAAGUCACGGCUAACUACGUGCCAGCAGCCGCGGUAAUACGUAGGUGGCAAGCGUUGUCCGGAUUUAUUGGGCGUAAAGCGAGCGCAGGCGGAAUGAUAAGUCUGAUGUGAAAGCCCACGGCUCAACCGUGGAACUGCAUCGGAAACUGUCAUUCUUGAGUGCAGAAGAGGAGAGUGGAAUUCCAUGUGUAGCGGUGGAAUGCGUAGAUAUAUGGAAGAACACCAGUGGCGAAGGCGGCUCUCUGGUCUGCAACUGACGCUGAGGCUCGAAAGCAUGGGUAGCGAACAGGAUUAGAUACCCUGGUAGUCCAUGCCGUAAACGAUGAGCGCUAGGUGUUGGGGACUUUCCGGUUCUCAGUGCCGCAGCAAACGCAUUAAGCGCUCCGCCUGGGGAGUACGACCGCAAGGUUGAAACUCAAAGGAAUUGACGGGGGCCCGCACAA
rnacentral:rRNA from 1 species